rnacentral:rRNA from 1 species
UAGGAUUUUUCUUCUGAUAUUAAAGCCAUAGAUCCCUGUCAGUGCCGGUCUGAUCUCUGAAGCUAAGCAGGACUAGACCUGGUUAGUACUUGGAUGGGAGACCUCUAGUGGAUACUGUUGUUGUGUCCUUA